AAAAAUGAUGUUAAUGAUUGUCAGAAUUGUCAGAACAAAAGAUUUGAACGUUUAAUAGACAGAAGGAGUGCUUGUUUAAAGUGACUGUUGUGGUUUCAUAAACUAUCGUAGCAGCACAUAGCAGCUGUAUCUUCAUAUAUACGCUAAUGAUAGUGCUGCCAGUAUGAUUGCACCUCCACACAUCCCAGCUGUGAGUGUGUUGUUUGUGCUAACAGUGCUGAAUGUUUCCCCGCUGAGUUUUCAAGCUUGAAGGAAGAGCUCUCCGGUCAGAAUCUCCUCUCGUUAGUUCCCACCUCUUUACCUCCUCAGUGUGAGGCUGAGCCGUUCGUUGUUAAGCAGAGGUAUUUAUUAAACCUGUUAGCUCUGUGCAGCGGGGGGAGGUGGGCCUGGCUUCCUGUGGUGCCGUAGCCGCACAGGAAUGCAGGAUUAAUGACACCUGUACAGGCUUCAGUCCACUAACACCCACUCCGCACAGCGCAGCACAGAAACUCUAAUUACAACCCGAGGCUCUCUGCACAUCACCGGCGAUCAUUUGCGCCAGUAAAAGCGAGACGCUUUAAAGAAGUCCAUUCAUUCCGCACCGGGUGUUAAUGGCUGCUGAGGGUAAUGUGAGAUUUCACCUGUAGUGAUGCACACCAGCUGAGACCGGAUGGAUGAAUGGGAGGGCACAGUGAGAGAGAGAGAGAGAGUGCUGCAAAAAAUCUCCCUAACAAGUGGUUUAGUCUCAUACGGAGCCCUGCAGCUCGGAACAAAGCAGAAAUCAGCCUGGAGAGGGAGAUUGCUCCACUUGUUACCAUUACAAACAGAUGUUUUCUUACUUCGUCUUACGUCCAGUGAAGCCCCGUUAUACAACUGAGUAAAAGAGCAAAUAAUUGCACAUUUUCUUUUAUCAUUAAUUCCUUGUCCAACUUGCAAAAUGGCCAUUAAUCAGAAAAUGAAAUGACUCUGAAAAUUGAAAUCUCCACUCUUCAUGUACGUAGAUGAAUAUGAAGGAUGAUCAUGCUCUGUUUUGAGCAUGUCAUUUAGCUUAUUAGCCAAAUAUGGCUCUUAUGAUGGCUUCUUGUGUGACCAUAUGAGCAGAUUUCUAUUUUGUUUAGUUUCAAAAAAAUUGCAUCGAAGGUUUAAGAUAAUGUGUUUUCAUAGAAAAUGUAACAAAGCUCUCUGGUACAAAAAAACUCACAUCCAUUUGGUAAAAUGUUGCCUGCAGACACUCUCUGGUUUUCCAUUGUUUGCUGCUGUCUGGCAUCAUCAUAAAACAUGUAUGAGGACGUAUCCUUGAUAUGAAUGGAAGAUUGGAAGGCUCUGCACAUACGAGCUGAAGGAGUACACUCACUCACUUGUGAAUUCUCCCCACAAUUACCUGCACUGUUUACACAUCAGCUCAAAGUGCAUGAAAUGGACUUUGUACUACAGAGGUUGGCAGAUUAAAGUCUCUUCAAUGUCUAGUUAACUGACUCAGACACCAGGGUUAUAACAUGCAGCUCCUCUGGGUGAUGUCCAGACAAGGUCAGUAGGACAGAGCAAGUGUGUGUGUGUGUGUGGGGACUUCUGUUAAGAUAGUAAGUCCAAAAAGAAGUCAAUCUCACCUCUUCAGGGCGUAAGACUCCCCCUGAUUUCAUUUUGUUUCAACAAAAGUAUUCAUUUCUGGAAACUUUCUGCAACAAAGAAAGCUUCUGUGGAAACAAGUGGGGAUUAUUUCUCCCGUUCUGGCAGCGAUGUCUCGACGGCUGGGUAUGAAAUUAAAUGACUUGUCAUUUGUUUUGUUUUUUUGCAGCGUGUGUGAAGUGAACAUCCAGCCCGCAGAAUCACUGAGGGAACAUCAAAGCGACGCCGCUGGGCUGCGACGCCUUCGAGGCUAAAAAAAACCCGAAGCAAAAUCGGCCGUCUUCUGGGUCACGUCGGGGUCACACUAUCUCGUUUUAUUUGGCAAACAAUCGGCUUCAAUGAGCGUGUCGGACGGUUAAUCCCCCCCGCUUUCCACCACUUUAUUUUUAUCCUUUUUGAACGCCGUGCUCUCCCAUUUCUGCUGUGCCGCUUAAUUGCUUUUUAUUGUUCCCACAUUUGUUUGUAGUGUGUUGGAAGUCAAUGAGCAAGAUGUUAGCGCGAUUCAAAAACACCAUUCCUCCGCUCUCUGAAGGUGAUUUGAUUUAUUGUCGCCAUAUCUGCCUGUUCAGAAACCACACGCACAUAAAAACACACACACACACACACAGAGUCACUGUAUUCCCCUGCAGAUAAAUCAACCAUCAUUCAACCAACGUUCAGACCCUCCCUGCGACAGAGAUUUAGAGUUCACGGGCGCCACCGCGGUCCCUCGUGCUCCUCGUCUUCCUCUGGUGAUUUAACGCCGACGCUCAGAGCUCUGAUUGAUUAUUUACGGCCUAACAUGGAGGUCCACAUUGACUCUCCUCCUUCCUUUUCCCAUGGCCACGUUUCGCCGUUUCACGGUAAACAAGUCAUUUUUUUCCCCCCUCCUCUCCCUGACGCCGGCGCACGGCCCGACCAGCCGCUGGCCUCCCAGGUGGCCGCUGUGUUCUGCUGUCUCAGGUAAAGACAGAGGAGAGAGGUCGAAGUCAUAUAGUGCAAGUUUAACCUCAACUCUUUGGCACCAAUUAACCCCAGAGGAAGAAAAGUAACCUCUGGUGACAUCUGGUGACCUCCUCAAGCUUUUGCUGCUUGCACCUCACAGCACUGCAAAGACCGCUCGUGUGUGUCUGUGUGUUUGUACAUGUGCCUACUGAGAGAUUCAAAUACCCUACAUGGCCAAAAGUACGUGGACAGUCGGUCCAUCAUGUCUCAUGCCAUGUGAGGCCCAUUAAUGUUGGACACAGAAGCUCUAGAAAUGUCAACUUGGCAGGGAGGCUUUGAGUAAGUCUUGCUGAGCAUGAACAGAGAAUUUGUGAAAACUAGAAACAAUCUACAGUUUUCCCUUGAGUCAAAAGUUGCAAUUACUGUGUUGCAUUUCCAGCUAUGAGACUGCACAUGUCUGCAGAGUUAAAGUACAAUACAAACAGUACGUGUAUGUGUAAAGACAGUCUUAAGGCCUCCUGUCAGGCUACAAACACUUCCUGCUCCCUGAAGGAACCAAUGAAACCCCCAAAACAACUCCCUAAUCCCCACCAUCAACACAACCACCAGCAGCUAGCUACCCAUCAGCCCCCAGGAGAGCUGCUGUCACACACACUGACAACCUCUGUGAGUGUGUGUGUGUGUGUGUGUGUGUGUCAGGUGUGUCUGCAUGCAGAGCAUCCACCUUUUGUUCUACUGCCAUCACAUUUAAAGUCAAAUCAGUGACUGGCGGACUGGUGUUUGUGUUUCUCACAUCAGCAACGUUUUACACAGAACAAUCUGAGAGACAAACAGUCGAUAAAACAGAGAUGUGAUGGCUCAUCUUCAGUCAGCUGCUGCUCCUCCUCACAACAUGUCAUGCUUUACCAGAUAUCUCAGUAAGGCACUUUUAUUGUCUUCAAAUAUUUAAAGGUAAAAGCUAUUGAUCAUAAGUUUGGAAUUCAAAAGGACAAUGCAUGUCAGAUCUGAAUCCACAUGAAUCUUCUUUAUUAUUUUAAAAACACAACACUGACUUAUCUUCUAAACCGCUCCUCCUCUUACUCUAAAAUAAUCCCCAAUCGCUGCUUUACAAUACAAAUGCGGUCCUUAAUGUAAAAUGCUUUUUCUAUUUUCAAGCAAAGUGCUUUGCCGCUCAAACCCGCUGGUUUAUCCUUGAUUUAUUAUUAAUACAGAGUGCACUAGUUCACUUCUAAAACACUUCAUAGACUUACUGAUUUAUGACUUAAAUGCAUAAAUGUCUUCAAAAAACACUUUGGUUUACUUUUAGGAACUUAUUGGUUUACUACUGACGGGCAUUAUUUAUGUAUGAAUCCACUGCUGUGCUUACAGAGAAAUGUCUAGAACACAGACUGCGUCUCAAAUUGUUGAUUUUGUUUUCAAUUAAGGUCAGUUUCUUAAUGUUGCACUUAUCAGUGUGUCACACUCUAUCAAAUUAACUUCAAAAGAAUCAUUUGCUUGACUUACCCGCUGAAGAAUGUUCUCAACUCUGCAACUCUUCAGAGAUUUUAAGCUUCGUUUUUUGUUUAGUUUUAGUUUGGCGGGACAUACAUCCUGUCUGGUGACGUCACAGCGUUUCCAGCUGCAGCUCUCAUGAUCACGUGCAUGACAUUAAGCAUCAAGUAGCUGAAAAUCCAGAUGUUUGGCCCAGGAGUCGAUAGAGACACAACCUCAGAAUCAACUGGCUUUCAUCUGAACGAUAUCUGGAUAACCAAUAACAGAUACUUGGGCUUGGACCACCGCUUGUUUUCUUUUUUAUUCAAGUCCGACAGGCAACUUAAAGAGCAAAAAUUGGGAUGUUAUCAAGACACAACUUACUUGAAUGUAAAUGUAAUGAUAGCCUGGUUGACUCUCACAUCACAGAAAUGUUUCAACUCAAAGGAUUUCAGGAUCCAGGAUCCAUUUCUUUAUAUAUACAGAGCACACUUUGAGACGUAGUCUGUAUUUCCUACUUUUACUUCUUUGAUUAGUCGUGCUCUCCAGUUGUGAAAUCUUCUGCUCUCUUUUUGAAUCUCGUUGUCGUUGCUGUGAGUUCAGCUGUGGGUUGGAAUCUGCUCCUACAUGGCAGUUAAAAUGUGACUUUUUUGUUUUGUUUGUUUGUUGGUUUGUUUUUUUGGGUGUGUGCUGUGUACCAGAAGAUUCACUUUGUUUAAAGACACACACAGGAAUGAUUUUUUCUUCAAUGUUCCCCCUCCACUCUUCUCCUCAGUGUGACUGUCAGAGACACAAUGAGUCUGUCAGUCACUCUAAGACUCAUCUCUUCUCUCUGUCCACUUAUGAUCAGUGUGGAAUGAGUUUGGGCCUCUCAUGUCACUUUUGUUUCUAGGUUUGGGACUUUUGCAUUAAUGGUGUUAAGUCACAGAAUUAAGACCCAACUUUAAAAUGAUACGAAGACUAUCCAAAUGAGAGACACUGAAGUAUCUCAGUUAAGCUGCUGUGUUUUUUAGGGAUGUCUGUAUUCCAAAAUAAGAAUAUUCUGCAAACUUUUGCAAAGAUUUCGGCUCAUUUUCUUCACUCUGGAGGCAAGAAAACACAGCUUUCUUCAUCAGUAGAGUUCUUUUGGCACUGGAAAAUUAUAUUUUCUUUGGUAAAUUUGGACAAAAAGUUCCAGAUACCAACUGAAAUCCCUCAUGGUUUUUGUUUUCCUUUGCUUUGGUCCCCAGAAAUACCCACAUCUUUUCACACAAAUUAGUGCAACUUCUUUAAUGAAUUUCUUUGCACUCUCCUUGGCAAUUUCCAACCUCUCCCGAGUUUGUAGCCCACUUUUAUUUAAGACAUUUUUCGGUAACUAAGCACGAUUGGACUUUACCCUGGGUAGCUUCCUCAGACUACACAAGAGUAACUACAGAGCCACAAGAGACACUAUAUCACUAUCUUAGCAGAGGCUAGAGUAGUAUUCUCUAGACAUCUUAAUUCACUCUGACAUGAAAAAUCUGCAGAGUGCACCUUUCAUAAAACAUGAAUCUCCUCCAAACCUGACUGCUCUGAGGGCCUGUCACCUUUGUCUAUCUGUUUUCCAAACUGAUUAAUUCUCCUGACGAUGAGUGCCAAGUUUCUGUCUCUGGUAGGAGCACUAGAAAUCACAUUUUCUAUGGGCAACAAUUAAUACUUCAUUUUCAUGAACACAGUCAGUUAUUUCUGUGACUUUAAUACAAUUGAAUCUGUGCAAAAGUCUUACUCCCAGAACAACGAGUGAAAGCACGAGAGCAGCCGACUUGUUUUUCAUGAAACCAUGUGAUAAAGUUUGCAGUGCUUUGCUGUUUCUUUUGGUUGUGUAUUAUACUGAGGCUGGGGUCUUCAGCUUGAAGCAUGAAACAAGCCAACUUUAUAAAUAUACAAUUUUGUUGUUGUCGCAGUUGUUUUAAAAUCAAUGUUAUGGAAUCAACACUGCUAUAGAGAUACUGUAUGAAUAUAAAUGGUCGUUGCUGUUUUUUACCAGAUGCGGCGGUGUGUACAUGAUGUUUUCUGAGCGGGGCUGGACUGGACUCUGUGUUUUUCUUUUUUUUUUUUUUUCUUUACUUCACCUGUACCAGAUUUCAAACAGAAUCAGACUCAAAUCAGACAAAUUGUUUUCAGAGCCCAAACAGGAUGACAGGCCACUCAGGAUGUUUAGAAAGUACGGAAGUUAAGAGCAGCCAUUCAAGCUGAUGAUAAUGUUAGGGUCAUUAUCAGUCAUUUAGCCUUAACGGUAAUAGGAGCAUUAAAUAAACUAUAUUCUUAACAAAACAGAAAGACGAUAAAGUCAUGACGACAAUAUGAACUACUGUAAAGGGGCACACAGUGUUUUCUGUUGUACUAAAUUCAUGUUUCUGGCUUUGGAAAGUGCAAUUUAGCCCCAGAAUUUAGCAACUGAAGAAAUGUACAUCCCUUAAAAGUUUGACAUGUGAUGUGACGUUAAGAUAAGCAAAAACAAAACAAAAAACAGUAUUGAGUUUAGAAAGUAAUCCCAGGUUCAUGAUGAUACAUCAGACCAUCCUUUAUAUUGAAACAUAGAACUCAUUCAUUACCGCAAAAUAUCUCGUUUGCUAGAUACCUGCCUUUUAAAAGAUAGGUACAACACCUGAUCUAUGAAUGCAAAGAAAAAUGUUCUUGGGAAAACAGACUUCGAGAAAGCUACAGUGGCCGCUCUCAGCUUCCGUACUUCAACAAUGACAUGGAACUUUUUUUCUGUUUUUCUUUAACUCGUGUAAGAAAACAAAAAGCCGGAGCUGCCGAAACCCUUUUGUCUUUGCAGAAAGUCCACGUUUGUAGCCUCAGUGUUGGUUGGUUAUAUUUAUAUAGGAACAAUGCUAGUGAUGCCUUGUUUUUUUGUACAGUUUUAUGUACAUGGAAGUGUAGGUUUUUAAAAAAUGAAGAUAAAAAAAACAGUAUAUAUAUAUUCAAACGCCGUGAAGGAAAUCUGAACCUGUAGGGUUUUGUUGUCUAAAGUACCGUAGGCUUUUUAAAUGUAGGAGUGAUGAGUCAGGCUCAGAGCGGAGGACGACGGCUUCUCUCCUCCAAUCACACACUGGCUUUACCGUUCUGUUCUGUCAUGUUCGUCCGAAGACAAACUGUACAUUUCUUUAGUUUCUUUGUUUUCGUUGUUUGUUUCUUUGGGGUCUUUGAGUUUUUUCUUAGAGGAAGUUGGGUGAUGUGUUUGUUUGAGCCUCAUCUGUUCUCUUUUGAUCAGCAUCCGCAUGUUUGACUUUAAAAAAAUAAUGUGGUCUUUUAUUUUUGCUGAGCAAAUCAAAGAAAUGAUAUCUUGUAAUUACUCCUUCCUUAUAGCUUUACAAUAAAAUACAUUCAGUCAAA